CAGUGAAAUUGAACUCGCUGUGAAGAUGCAGUGUACCCGCGGCAAGACGGAAAGACCCCGUGAACCUUUACUAUAGCUUGACACUGAACAUUGAGCCUUGAUGUGUAGGAUAGGUGGGAGGCUUUGAAGUGUGGACGCCAGUCUGCAUGGAGCCGACCUUGAAAUACCACCCUUUAAUGUUUGAUGUUCUAACGUGGACCCGUUACCCGGGUUGCGGACAGUGUCUGGUGGGUAGUUUGACUGGGGCGGUCUCCUCCUAAAGAGUAACGGAGGAGCACGAAGGUUGGCUAAUCCUGGUCGGACAUCAGGAGGUUAGUGCAAUGGCAUAAGCCAGCUUGACUGCGAGCGUGACGGCGCGAGCAGGUGCGAAAGCAGGUCAUAGUGAUCCGGUGGUUCUGAAUGGAAGGGCCAUCGCUCAACGGAUAAAAGGUACUCCGGGGAUAACAGGCUGAUACCGCCCAAGAGUUCAUAUCGACGGCGGUGUUUGGCACCUCGAUGUCGGCUCAUCACAUCCUGGGGCUGAAGUAGGUCCCAAGGGUAUGGCUGUUCGCCAUUUAAAGUGGUACGCGAGCUGGGUUUAGAACGUCGUGAGACAGUUCGGUCCCUAUCUGCCGUGGGCGCUGGAGAACUGAGGGGGGCUGCUCCUAGUACGAGAGGACCGGAGUGGACGCAUCACUGGUGUUCGGGUUGUCAUGCCAAUGGCACUGCCCGGUAGCUAAAUGCGGAAGAGAUAAGUGCUGAAAGCAUCUAAGCACGAAACUUGCCCCGAGAUGAGUUCUCCCUGAGACUUAGAGUCUCCUGAAG
rnacentral:rRNA from 1 species